rnacentral:rRNA from 1 species
AGUGAACGCUGGCGGUAGGCCUAACACAUGCAAGUCGAACGGCAGCACAGUAAGAGCUUGCUCUUACGGGUGGCGAGUGGCGGACGGGUGAGGAAUACAUCGGAAUCUACUUUUUCGUGGGGGAUAACGUAGGGAAACUUACGCUAAUACCGCAUACGACCUACGUGUGAAAGCAGGGGAUCUUCGGACCUUGCGCGAUCGAAUGAGCCGAUGUCGGAUUAGCUAGUUGGCGGGGUAAAGGCCCACCAAGGCGACGAUCCGUAGCUGGUCUGAGAGGAUGAUCAGCCACACUGGAACUGAGACACGGUCCAGACUCCUACGGGAGGAAGCAGUGGGGAAUAUUGGACAAUGGGCGCAAGCCUGAUCCAGCCAUACCGCGUGGGUGAAGAAGGCCUUCGGGUUGUAAAGCCCUUUUGUUGGGAAAGAAAAGCAGCAGGUUAAUACCCCGCUGUUCUGACGGUACCCAAAGAAUAAGCACCGGCUAACUUCGUG